ACGGGAGGCAGCAGUGGGGAAUAUUGCACAAUGGGCGCAAGCCUGAUGCAGCGAUGCCGCGUGAGGGAAGAAGGUUUUCGGAUUGUAAACCUCUGUCAACAGGGACGAAAAUGACGGUACCUGUGAAGGAAGCUCCGGCUAACUACGUGCCAGCAGCCGCGGUAAUACGGAGGAUGCGAGCGUUAUCCGGAUUUAUUGGGUUUAAAGGGUGCGUAGGCGGCCCCUUAAGUCGGCGGUGAAAUUUCCGGGCUCAACCCGGUCACUGCCGUCGAAACUGGGGGGCUUGAGUGCGUUUGGGGUGGCUGGAAUGUGCGGUGUAGCGGUGAAAUGCAUAGAUAUCGCACAGAACGCCGAUCGCGGAGGCAGGUCACCAAGCCGCAACUGACGCUGAGGCACGAAAGCGCGGGGAUCGAACAGGAUUAGAUACCCUGGUA
rnacentral:rRNA from 1 species